AUGGGAGAAGAGAAGGUGAAAGAAGAGGCAAUGCGGCUUAUUGGGAUCUUCUAGCUUCUUCCCCGUUUGGUCGUAUUCGAUCUUGAUUACACUCUCUGGCCUUUCUACUGCGAGUGUCGCUCCAAACUUGAAAUGCCAUCUUUGUACCCCCCAUGCUAAAGGCAUAUUAUCUGCACUCAAGGACAAGGGGAUUAACUUAGCAAUCGCAUCUAGAUCUCCGACCCCGGAUAUAGCAAAUGCGUUCCUUAACAAAUUGAGCGUCGAUUCUAUGUUUGUUACAAAGGAAUUUUUUUUCCAGCUGGAAGAACAAGACGGAUCAUUUCCAGAAAAAUCAUUCAAAGACUGGGAUCCCCUUCAAUUCAAUGCUCUUUUUUUUUGACGAUAUGAGCAUAGGAACAUACAAGCUGUUUCAAAGAUGGGAGUGACGAGCAUAUGUGUUGAUAAUGGGGUUAGUCUGGGAGCAUUGAGACAAGGGCUGACAAAAUUUGCUGAAAAUCUAAAAUGCAUCAG